rnacentral:rRNA from 1 species
GGAUCAGUGGCGAACGGGUGAGUAACACGUGGGCAACCUGCCCCCGGCUCUGGGAUAACUCCAAGAAAUUGGGGCUAAUACCGGAUGUGACUGCUGACCGCAUGGUCUGGUGGUGGAAAGAUUUAUCGGCUGGGGAUGGGCCCGCGGCCUAUCAGCUUGUUGGUGGGGUGAUGGCCUACCAAGGCGACGACGGGUAGCCGGCCUGAGAGGGUGACCGGCCACACUGGGACUGAGACACGGCCCAGACUCCUACGGGAGGCAGCAGUGGGGAAUAUUGCGCAAUGGGCGGAAGCCUGACGCAGCGACGCCGCGUGGGGGAUGACGGCCUUCGGGUUGUAAACCUCUUUCAGCAGGGACGAAGCCGUAAGGUGACGGUACCUGCAGAAGAAGCACCGGCCAACUACGUGCCAGCAGCCGCGGUAAUACGUAGGGUGCAAGCGUUGUCCGGAAUUAUUGGGCGUAAAGAGCUCGUAGGCGGUCUGUCGCGUCGGCUGUGAAAACCCGGAGCUCAACUCCGGGCCUGCAGUCGAUACGGGCAAACUGGAGUGUUGCAGGGGAGACUGGAAUUCCUGGUGUAGCGGUGAAAUGCGCAGAUAUCAGGAGGAACACCGGUGGCGAAGGCGGGUCUCUGGGCAACAACU